AAUCCUACGGGACGCAGCAGUGAGGAAUAUUGGUCAAUGGCCGGGAGGCUGAACCAGCCAAGUCGCGUGAGGGAAGACGGCCCGACGGGUUGUAAACCUCUUUUGUCAGGGAGCAAGGUGCAGGUCGGGACCUGCUGUGAGAGUACCUGAAGAAAAAGCAUCGGCUAACUCCGUGCCAGCAGCCGCGGGGAUACGGAGGAUCCGAGCGUUAUCCGGAUUCAUUGGGUUUAAAGGGUGCGUAGGUUGUUUUAUAAGUUAGCGGUGAAAUACCGAUGCUCAACAUCGGGGCUGCCGCUAAUACUGUA
rnacentral:rRNA from 1 species